rnacentral:rRNA from 1 species
UACGGGGGGGGCAAGCGUUUUUCGGAAUUACUGGGCGUAAAGGGCGCGUAGGCGGGCGGGCAAGUCUCUCGUGAAAGCCCACGGCUCAACCGUGGAAUUGCGGGAGAUACUGCCUGUCUUGAGUCCGGGAGAGGAGGGUGGAAUUCCCAGUGUAGCGGUGAAAUGCGUAGAUAUUGGGAGGAACACCGGUGGCGAAGGCGGCUCUCUGGACCGGUACUGACGCUGAGGCGCGAAAGCUAGGGGAGCAAACGGG